CCCGUGCAGGUGGCUUUCAGCUUCCAUUUUAAGUAACUGCAAAAUAAUAUGAUCUGUGUUUUACUUAUGUUUGAGAUGGAGGACAUUGUCAGAUAAUGGUAACUGAUUGUAACACUGAAAUUAAGCAGGGUUGUUGGUGAAGUGGCAUAUACAGGGAAACAUUGCUGGGUUCUAUUUGACAAUGUAGCAGCUGGUGAAUUCACAUCUAAGGUAGUUCAUGAGUGUCCAGAUGAAUGGCUACCUCAGCUUGCAGCUGGUAUCAAGACGAUUUUGCUAGUGCCUGUUGUUCCAUGUGGAGUUUUGCAACUUGGCUCAUUGGAAAAGGUGUGUUUUCAUCGAUAGAAGGGCAUUAUUUGGUAUCGUGGUCAGAUGCCUUCUUGAAU